GGGCUGACACGUGGGAACAAACUGCCUCUUGAUUUACACGCAAGAGGUCACUGGUUCGAGUCCAGUAUCGCCCACCA
rnacentral:tRNA from 1 species